AACGUAGGAGACGAACGUUAUCCGGAGUUACUGGGCGUAAAGGGCGUGUAGGCGGUUUGUUAAGUCUGGCGUGAAAGCUCUCGGCUAAACCGGGAGAGGUCGUUGGAUACUGGCGAACUAGAGGAUGGUAGAGGCGUGUGGAAUUCCGGGUGUAGUGGUGAAAUGCGUAGAGAUCCGGAGGAACACCAGUGGCGAAGGCGGUUCUCUGGGCAUUACCUGACGCUGAGGAGCGAAAGUGUGGGGAGCGAACAGG
rnacentral:rRNA from 1 species